GGUUAGCAUGUCCAUAUCGCAACCGAGCACGUGUAGAGGGCGGCGAGCAGGAGCGUGGCAGAGACCUCGACGAUGACACGGCGCUGCUGCAGAUUAAUUGGAGUUCAGAAUAGCAAGUUGCGGCAAUCAAGUCAGGAAAAGGAAACAAGAAUUGAUGAAUUAUGUGUCUAGAGUCUAGAUUCAGUGUUGCUAUGUGCUCUGAAUUUUUUGAACCUGAAAUUCCUGGUCUUGCACAUGCACUGUGCUAAUGUUUGCGAUAUAUAUGCACGAUUAGUGUUCUUGCAAAAAAAGAAUUACUCGAUGAUCUGUGAGAUAUUGUAUGUUGAAGUUGGCCUAUUCACCAUAAUGUUCUUUUGUAUACACACAAACAUAUGAUUUUGAUGUUA